UUGGAUCGAGGUUUUAAAUUUGUGUUUUUGAAUGAAAUGGAUUUUAUUAGUGAAUCAAUCAUCUACUCGACUAAAAAAUCGAAUAGGUCUCAUUGUAAGAAAGCCCAAGAGUAAGCUAUGUGAGGUUGACGGCGAUGCUUUAAAAGCGAUCGACUUACAAAGGUUUUUUAAAAAUAGGCUCGAUUUUGAAUCGAGAAUUAUGAUUUUAAUGGUUUUGGAUUGAUGAUGAAAU
rnacentral:lncRNA from 1 species